GAUGAACGCUGGCGGCGUGCCUAAUACAUGCAAGUCGAGCGAACGGACGAGAAGCUUGCUUCUCUGAUGUUAGCGGCGGACGGGUGAGUAACACGUGGAUAACCUACCUAUAAGACUGGGAUAACUUCGGGAAACCGGAGCUAAUACCGGAUAAUAUUUUGAACCGCAUGGUUCAAAAGUGAAAGACGGUCUUGCUGUCACUUAUAGAUGGAUCCGCGCUGCAUUAGCUAGUUGGUAAGGUAACGGCUUACCAAGGCAACGAUGCAUAGCCGACCUGAGAGGGUGAUCGGCCACACUGGAACUGAGACACGGUCCAGACUCCUACGGGAGGCAGCAGUAGGGAAUCUUCCGCAAUGGGCGAAAGCCUGACGGAGCAACGCCGCGUGAGUGAUGAAGGUCUUCGGAUCGUAAAACUCUGUUAUUAGGGAAGAACAUAUGUAUAAGUAACUGUGCACAUCUUGACGGUACCUAAUCAGAAAGCCACGGCUAACUACGUGCCAGCAGCCGCGGUAAUACGUAGGUGGCAAGCGUUAUCCGGAAUUAUUGGGCGUAAAGCGCGCGUAGGCGGUUUUUUAAGUCUGAUGUGAAAGCCCACGGCUCAACCGUGGAGGGUCAUUGGAAACUGGAAAACUUGAGUGCAGAAGAGGAAAGUGGAAUUCCAUGUGUAGCGGUGAAAUGCGCAGAGAUAUGGAGGAACACCAGUGGCGAAGGCGACUUUCUGGUCUGUAACUGACGCUGAUGUGCGAAAGCGUGGGGAUCAAACAGGAUUAGAUACCCUGGUAGUCCACGCCGUAAACGAUGAGUGCUAAGUGUUAGGGGGUUUCCGCCCCUUAGUGCUGCAGCUAACGCAUUAAGCACUCCGCCUGGGGAGUACGACCGCAAGGUUGAAACUCAAAGGAAUUGACGGGGACCCGCACAAGCGGUGGAGCAUGUGGUUUAAUUCGAAGCAACGCGAAGAACCUUACCAAAUCUUGACAUCCUUUGACAACUCUAGAGAUAGAGCCUUCCCCCUCGGGGGACAAAGUGACAGGUGGUGCAUGGUUGUCGUCAGCUCGUGUCGUGAGAUGUUGGGUUAAGUCCCGCAACGAGCGCAACCCUUAAGCUUAGUUGCCAUCAUUAAGUUGGGCACUCUAAGUUGACUGCCGGUGACAAACCGGAGGAAGGUGGGGAUGACGUCAAAUCAUCAUGCCCCUUAUGAUUUGGGCUACACACGUGCUACAAUGGACAAUACAAAGGGCAGCGAAACCGCGAGGUCAAGCAAAUCCCAUAAAGUUGUUCUCAGUUCGGAUUGUAGUCUGCAACUCGACUACAUGAAGCUGGAAUCGCUAGUAAUCGUAGAUCAGCAUGCUACGGUGAAUACGUUCCCGGGUCU
rnacentral:rRNA from 1 species